rnacentral:tRNA from 1 species
AAAGCUUAGGAGUAAAUAUUAAACCAGUGGCCUUCAACACCACAAACAAGGGAGGACCCUUAGCUUUUG